GAUGAACGCUGGCGGCGUGCCUAAUACAUGCAAGUCGAGCGAACAGACGAGGAGCUUGCUCCUCUGACGUUAGCGGCGGACGGGGGAGUAACACGUGGAUAACCUACCUAUAAGACUGGGAUAACUUCGGGAAACCGGAGCUAAUACCGGAGAAUAUAUUGAACCGCAUGGUUCAAUAGUGAAAGACGGUUUUGCUGUCACUUAUAGAUGGAUCCGCGCCGCAUUAGCUAGUUGGUAAGGUAACGGCUUACCAAGGCGACGACGCGUAGCCGACCUGAGAGGGUGAUCGGCCACACUGGAACUGCGACACGGUCCAGACUCCUACGGGAGGCAGCAGUAGGGAAUCUUCCGCAAUGGGCGAAAGCCUGACGGAGCAACGCCGCGUGAGUGAUGAAGGUCUUCGGCUCGUAAAACUCUGUUAUUAGGGAAGAACAAAUGUGUAAGUAACUAUGCACGUCUUGACGGUACCUAAUCAGAAAGCCACGGCUAACUACGUG
rnacentral:rRNA from 1 species